AAGUUGUCACAAGGUUUCUGUAGGUGAACCUGCGGAAGGAUCAUUAACACGUAUCCAAACGUUAAAACCCUCCCCCGUGAACAUUGAUUCCUGCUCUUGUAACCCGCGAAGCUUGCAAUCUCUGGUAAAUCAUAGCCCGGAAAGUAGUUUUGAUUCAGAGACCUCUGGCCCGUGCGAAAAUUGGAACAGUUACAAUUCGAGCGGUAGUUCUAUAGCCCUUGUUUCGAUUCUUGUAGACCGCACCUCGAGGAUAGGAGCUAGGCCAAAGGGUCCCCAUGCCCCUUACAACCCCACAGUGAAAUGUAAAGCUCUUUGUAAUACAUUGGGUAAAAAACCGUC
rnacentral:misc_RNA from 1 species